rnacentral:rRNA from 1 species
GACGAACGCUGGCGGCGUGCUUAACACAUGCAAGUCGAACGGAAAGGCCCUGCUUGCAGGGUACUCGAGUGGCGAACGGGUGAGUAACACGUGGGUGAUCUGCCCUGCACUUCGGGAUAAGCCUGGGAAACUGGGUCUAAUACCGGAUAGGAGCCAUUUUUAGUGUGAUGGUUGGAAAGUUUUUUCGGUGUAGGAUGAGCUCGCGGCCUAUCAGCUUGUUGGUGGGGUAAUGGCCUACCAAGGCGGCGACGGGUAGCCGGCCUGAGAGGGUGGACGGCCACAUUGGGACUGAGAUACGGCCCAGACUCCGACGGGAGGCAGCAGUGGGGAAUAUUGCACAAUGGGCGCAAGCCGGAUGCAGCGACGCCGCGUGGGGGAUGACGGCCUUCGGGUUGUAAACUCCUUUCGCUAGGGACGAAGCUUUUUGUGACGGUACCUAGAUAAGAAGCACCGGCUAACUACGUG